AGCGAACGCUGGCGGCAGGCCUAACACAUGCAAGUCGAACGAAGCCUUCGGGCUUAGUGGCGGACGGGUGAGUAACACGUGGGAACGUACCUUUUGGUUCGGAACAACUCAGGGAAACUUGAGCUAAUACCGGAUGAGCCCUUAGGGGGGAAGAUUUAUCGCCGAAAGAGCGGCCCGCGUUAGAUUAGCUAGUUGGUGAGGUAAAGGCUCACCAAGGCUACGAUCUAUAGCUGGUCUGAGAGGAUGAACAGCCACACUGGGACUGAGACACGGCCCAGACUCCUACGGGAGGCAGCAGUGGGGAAUCUUGCGCAAUGGGCGAAAGCCUGACGCAGCCAUGCCGCGUGAAUGAUGAAGGUCUUAGGAUUGUAAAAUUCUUUUACCAGGGACGAUAAUAACGGUACCUGGAGAAAAAGCCCCGGCUAACUUCGUGCCAGCCGCCGCGGUAAAAC
rnacentral:rRNA from 1 species